GUCCAUCGCCAACCAGAGGAGGAGACACCUGAGCCAAUGAUUUAUGCAGGCCCAGACAGGGCCAAGAAAAGUGGCCUGGCCCAGGCACUGGCACCCAGCAGCCCACUUAUACUAGAGAACAGUUGCAGGUCGCCCUCCAGGCCCUGAGGGUUUUGCUUCACAUGCUAGUGGAGCAUUUAUUUAAUGCCAUUUUUAGAAU